GGAAAGGCACCACCAGGCGUGGAGCCUGCGGCUUAAUUUGACUCAACACGGGCCAUCUCACCAGGCCAGCACUCUUGUACGAUUGACAGAUUGAGAGCUCUUUCUCGAUUCAGUGGAUGGUGGUGCAUGGCCGUUCUUAGUUGGUGGAGUGAUCUGUCUGGUUAAUUCCGAUAACGAACGAGACUCUCCCCUGCUAACUAGUCGGUUGGAUCUUGAUCAGCGGGUUGCGUGCCGAGUAACUCUCGCUGUGCGUGGUGCGUAGCUGGGCCUCCGGGUUCGUUGCGUGCUCGCGUGGCGUUGGAUGCCUUGGAUCACACUGCACCCCAAGUCCGCCGCUUAUGCUAUAACUCUUCUUAGAGGGAUUCACGGCACUGAAGCCGUAAGAGACUGAGAGCAAUAACAGGUCUGUGAUGCCCUUAGAUGCUCUGGGCCGCACGCGCGCUACAAUGCCGGGCACAGCAGGUGUUUCUCCUUCUCCGACAGGAGCGGGUAACCCUCUGAAAGCCAGUGUUCUUGCAAGUGCUUCCUCCCUCGUGGAGUUGCACAGAGGCGUGCUUGGGCCUGGGACUUGCAAUUCUUUCCCACCAACGAGGAAUGCCUAGUA
rnacentral:rRNA from 1 species